AGGGAUAUGGAAACUGGAAAACCAACACAUUGAUGGCAAGAAACAAUGAAAAAUGAUUUGCAGAACCAGAAAGUGCUGCAGCUCCAUCAGCCACACUCUGUACCUGUACGUGACUUACGGCCGAUGGACACUGCUGCCAUGGGACAUAUUUGCACAUUCCUGGGAUAAUAAACUAGCAUAACUG